AAGGAGAAGGCAAUCGGUGUUUGAGACCUUCAUGAAGAUGUAGAAGAAUAAGAAUAAAAGCCCAAUGCGAGGAUGAUUUCAAGUUUCUACGUUACCAUUUCUACAUCUAAAUUGACUUUAGCUCCUGAGUUCCAUGUCUAUGGGGUUUGUACUGUUUUACGUACCAUGCAGUACAUGCUUGUAAGGUUUUCUGUCCUGUUGGCAAGCCGCAGGUCCAUAUAAUAAAUGAAUACUAUUUAUAUUACGACACUUUUCUCUCUUUCUCUUAUAUUUUGUCUUUAAUAUUGUUGAUCAUUUUUUUUUUUUAUCAAAAGUAUCAAAUGCUUAGGCAAUUUGGUCUAAUGCUAAUUGUUUUACAUUUAUUUUUCACCUACAUCCCUUUUCAACUCAAAGGAUGCUACAGUUUGUGAUCAUUGUUUAAGACCGAAGCAUGGUACUAAUAAAUAUCUCAUUGAAAGUCAAGGAAACUAACAUUAUGAAAAGUGUAAAUCUUGAUUUGUGAAACUAUUUAUUCGUGGAAUUUAGAGAUACAAAACUCAAAUUGUGACGGUGUUGUUGCUAAAUUAUUUUUUUUUUAUAAUAAAACACAGUUCAUUCAAGGAUUACUGGAAAUCGUCCAGCACAAUUGAGAUACAUUGUUGCCCAGGUGGCAGAUAAAUAUGCACUAAAAUUAUAGAUAUGCAAUUUAACAAAUACAUAAGAUUUGAGAAAUUAAGGACAAAUCUAAAAAGGACCAUAAAUUUGAAAAACAUUUCAUCCUAGAAUAAGUCGCUGCAACUCUCUUUGUGCAUGCUGUAAUCGUCAGAUCUACUAAUCAACAGUUGUAAGGUCCAGUAAAGAUGGUGAGAUCUGCCGAGAUUGAUCCAAAUCUGAAAUAUUCCCUCAGAUCUGCUAUCCAAUUGGUUCAAACUCAAUACUGAAAGUGAAAUCUGAUGAGAAGACUGAAAAAAUUGUAGAUCUAACAUAUAGAUCUAAAAAAACUCCAAGAUUUGAAAAAGUAAAGAAACAAAACUAAAUAAAACUCUCAUUAAGAUAGUUUAGGAGAGACUAAAACUCUCAAUAGGACACCCUAGGAGAGAAGAAAACUCUCACUAGGAUAACCUAUGAGAGACUUUAUUGAAUGAAAGGAAAAGCAAAGGACAAAGGAAGAAGAAGGGAGACCUUGGCUUAAGGCCAAGGUCUCCCUCCUAUGGAGGAGGAAGGGUAGAGGAGGAAGCCUAGAGAGAAGGAAGAGAAUCCCUCCGCUAGAGGGAAGGAAGAGCCUCUGAGAGGGUACCCGUGUUGUUGCUAAAUUAUUAAGGACAUUAUCACCAUUACUUUUCCCUUACUAGUUUCAACUGCAAUGAUCUCAAUCUUUUUGUGACUAAUUCUUUUCUUAAUAAUUUAUAAAUACAAAACUCACAAAGAAUAUGUGACUUAUUCUUUCCUUUCGUCUUCUAAAGAAAAUGCCAACUGUUAGUUUAUCAAGGGAAAAAGGAUCGACAUCAGUUGUUAUUGAAACUAGUAAGGAAUAAAUAAUGGUGAUAAUGUCCUUAAUAAUUUAACAACAGCACCAUCAGAAUUUGAGCUUUGUAUCUAUAAAUUCCACGAAUAAAUAGUUUCAUCAAAUCAAGAUUUACACUUUUCAUAAUGUUAAGUUUCCUUGACUUUCAAUGAGAUAUUUAUUAGUAUCAUGCUUCGGUCGUAAACAACGAUCACAAACGAUAGCAUCCUUUGAGUUGAAAAGGGUAGUGAAAAAGAGAAGUAAAAAAUACAAUUAGCAUUCCCUCAAAUUGUAGAAAGUUAGGUAGCAUUAUAGACAAGUUGAUAGCCGUAAUUAUACUAAAAAUCAGGCAAAAGCCAGCAAUUUUACAUUUCAAAAUUCACCUAUUCAAUAACUAAUUCGAUGGCUUGCUACAUGGUCAAAAUUCACCACAUAUCCCUUUCCUCAAUCAGGGGCUUCUACAAUUACCAGUUCCAAUUGUAUGGUAUAGUGUAAAUAUCAACAAAUUAGAUGUAGACACUAAUAUAAUAAAUAUGGAUGCUAAGGCAACAACAUACAAAAACAUAAUAAAUUUUGGCAUUCCUUAAAAAAUUACGUCCCCAAAUCAAUCUCAUACACCCAAUUUCUAAUUUAUUUAACUCAUUCCGUCUAUUAACUGCACCAUACAAUCCAACCUGCAAUUGCAUGAACCCCAAUCUCGCUUCCUAGUCCACCAUUUUUCUCUAGGUAAUAAUCUCCCUUCUAAUUUCUUCACAAAAUGCACCUUUCAUCACCUCCAAUAGCGUCGACAUGAUCUUUACCCUAGAAGACUAUUCACCGACUCCCAAUUGACGUCAGAAAAUCUAAGAGUAAUUCUACUUUACCCUAAGAUUGAUAUCAACUAGACAAUGACAAUUUAGAAUUAUUACACGCCUCUUCUUAAUAGGAAAAAGAAAUAGAGAAGAAAGUCAGGCCAGGUCUAAUUUCUUUUCGAAGGCAAUACAACAUUACGAAAUCAAGCAUUCAUUCAUACAAAUAUUUCAUAGUCACCGGUUUGCUGAGUAGAAAAGUUUAUACAAAAACUUAAUAUUAUAUUGUUUAAGAGUUAACAAUUUAGAGCUUAAUCUCCUUGUACUUUGGACUAAACUCGAACGUGAAAGGAAAUCCCAAAACCAUAUUGGGCAUGAAUUCACACUUAAAUAGACCCAAAAAAAGAUGGCGACUGGUGAAAGGCAGUGGAGACUGGUGGUGAGAUUUGAGGAAUAGAAGCAGACGGAAAAGCCACAAAUUUUUGCCGAAAGAGGGUCACUUUCAUGGUUAAUUUUGCUACUCUCUACUUGUACUUGACCAAUGACAGGUUGUCAGUCUGUGCAAUAAUAAAAACCUGUUCAAACUAAAAGUAAUUUCUGUAGAUAGUGGUAAGCAGGGUCGAAUCCACAGGGAUUAGGUGUAACUGUUUCUUUUCAAAUUCACAAUAACAAAGGGGGUGUUUUUAUGCAGAAUGUGACAAUCAAAGAAAUUCAAUUAAAAGUAAAAUAAUAAAAAUAAAAUAGCCAACUAGAAAUUAAAUAACAAUUUACUAAAAUCAAAUGAGUGAUAAUUAAGGAUCUAGCCAAGGAAUAACUUCAGCAGUGGUUCACCUAAUUGAUCAUUGGAACAAAGGCAAUUCCAAUUAUUUACUAAUAAAUAGGUUAUAACUGCCAAACAAGCGAUGACAGUCAAUCACUCCUUACUGUGUCGGUGAUUAAGGUACGCCCGUUAAUCACUGCCCUAAUUGAGAAAUAAUCUUAGGUACGCCCGUAAGAUUUAAUUUUCCAAUUGCCUUACAUAUUAGAGGAGUGUCAGGAACAAGGAAAUAGAAUGGGACGUCGUUUAAUGCAAAGGGUUGUGCGUUUAAGGCCUUAGAAGCAAUACUACGUCGUUCUAAUAACAUAGGCGGUGCUGGUGUGAUAGGCCAAGUUAGUUGAGGGUCAAUUACAUAAAUAGCCUUCUGUAACAGAUUUUUGGUUAUGUUUUUGAAUGAAAAGUAUCUCGCUGCUUUCUCUCUCUUGUCUGUUAUUUCCCUCCCUUUUCUUCUUUCUCUCUUCCCUCUUCUUAAUCUUGUUUCUUUCUUCUGAUUCUUCCCCCAAAUUCAAUACAAUUCCAGAAAUUAACCUGCAAGUCUGACAUUUGGUAUCAGAGCGGUCGAUUCUUGGCCGCGAAGGUAUCAGAAAUGGCUGAGAGCACGCGAUUCAGGACACUGGAGGAGCAACUCAAGAAGCAGGAGAAUCGGUUGCAAGAACUGGCGGAAUCCAUGGCUGCACUGCAGAGUACGAGUUCCGAGGAGUUGCGGCAUAAGCUACAGGCGGAAAUGGAGCAGAACAAUGCAAAAUUGGACGCGGUGGUGGGAAGUCUGGACCAGAAGUUCAAUAAAAUGGAACAGAGACUCAGUACAGUGUUGAAGCUGCUGAUGAAGGAGAAAGGUCUCCCUGAUGUCGAAGGAGGAAUUUCUGAUCCAAUCUUGCCGACUCCUCCAUCUCAUCUGAGGUUAGCAUCCUCAGUCGAAGGGAUUGGGCACCAACAAGAGUACAGAGGUAGGCAAUUCACUCCUAAUGUACCUCGAUUAGAACUGCCAAUGUUUAACUCUGGAAACCCUAGGGAAUGGACCAGGAAAUGCCAGAAAUAUUUUUUGAACUAUCAGAUAGCAGAGAGUCAAAAGGUAGAGGUAGCAGAGAUGUUUUUGGAAGGUAGAGCUGACAAUUGGUUUCAAGGAGUGAAAUUGGUGAGGCCAGGGUUGUCUUGGGGGGAAUUUAGUGAACUUUUGUGUGAAAGAUUUUCUGGAAGUAGUUCUCGUGACAUUGUGGAGGAAUUUAACAAGUUACAGCAGAAAGGAACUGUUGAGGAAUAUGAGGAGAAAUUUGAAGAACUAAAAGCUCUAAUGCUGAUGAAAACCCCCAGGUUGGAUGAACUUUACUUUGUUUCCAGUUUUAUUAGUGGCCUCAGGGAAGAAAUUAGACCUAUGGUGAAGAUGUUUAAGCCUCAAACACUGAUGAAGGCCUUUGAAGUUGCGGAGUUGCAGGAGUGUUCCCUGGAAAUCCAAUCGAAACAAAACAGAACUUCAAGGAGGACAGCAAUGGAACCCAAGUUUGGAAUGUAUAAGGGCACUACGAGUGAUUAGGGUCGCCAAAAUUCAUAUAAGUUGCCUGGAGUCACUCCUGUCUCCAGGAGGACUAAUGCAGUACACAAGGAAUUUAGUAAGAUAUCAGCGGAGGAAAUGCAGUAUAAGCGUAAGCACAGCCUGUGCUAUAGGUGUGGAGAGAAGUUUGGAAUAGGUCAUCAGUGUAAGAAAGGAAGUCUGAACUGUGUGAGCACUGAGGAAGAGGAGGACACUGAAUUUGAGGAUGCGGAAGGGGAACAGGAUGAGUUAACAGGAAGGGUCGGGGAACUUGCAGAAGUCUCUUUGAAUGCUUUAUCUGGUGCCAUAAGGAGGAAAUCCAUCCUGUUGAUAGGGAACUUAGGGGGGCUUCCAGUCAAAAUUUUGGUGGACACAGGCAGUUCUAACAGCUUCAUUCACCACAGGAUUGUCAACCUACUGCAUCUACCAUAUCAGGCAGUCAGUCCAUUUACUGUGACUCUAGCAGAUGGAACUGACAUUACCAGUGGAGCCAUCAGUCCCAGCGUGUCUUGGUUAAUUCAGGACUAUCAAUUCCAAUUUGACUUAAAAGUAAUGGAAUUAGGGGGAUGGGAUAUAAUUCUGGGGGUGGACUGGAUGUGCCAGUAUAGUCCCAUUACAUUUGAUUUCCACUCUCUUAGCAUUGCCCUUAGUGAUAGGGGUUCUUUACUACACCUCCAAGGACUUGUGAAGCAACCUACUAUGGAACUGGUGAGGGGCAGGGAUCUCAGCUCGUUUAUACAGGAGAAGCAAAGAAACUGUGCAGCCAUGCAUGCUGAUAGGGCCAGGGAAACAGGAGAGCAGCUUCCAAAAGCUAUAGAAAGGAUCCUGGAACAGCACUCUCAGGUUUUCUCCACCCCAACAGGAUUACCCCCAGAGAGGGAAUUGGACCAUCAGAUCAACCUCAAACCAGGAGCUGAACCCUUCAAGCUCAAACCUUACAGGUACCCCCACUCACAUAAAGCAGAAAUUGAAAAAAAAGUUGCUGAGAUGCUCACUAAUGGAAUUGUUAUACAUAGCACAAGCCCCUAUGCCUCCCCUGUAUUGUUAGUAAAGAAAAAGGAUAACUCCUGGAGAUUAUGCAUAGAUUACAGGAAGCUGAACGAGCUGACUAUAAAGGAUAAGUUCCCUAUUCCCAACAUAGAUGAACUAUUGGAUGAAUUACAUGGAACCAGAUACAUGUCCAAACUGGAUCUCAGAGCUGGUUACCAUCAGUUGAGGGUGAAAGCUGUUGAUACCCCUAAGACUGCCUUCCAGACACACCAUGGCCACUUUGAAUUCUUAGUGAUGCCUUUUGGACUCACAAACGCGCCAGCUACAUUUCAGUCCUUGAUGAACAGAAUAUUUCAGCCAUAUCUCAGAAAGUUUGUCCUAGUCUUCUUUGACUACAUAUUAGUGUACAGCCCCACACUAGAGAUGCAUGCACAGCAUCUACAGAUUGUGCUCAAUAUUUUAGAAGAAAAUCAGCUGUAUUACAAGAGGUCAAAGUGCUCUUUUGCCCAGUCCUCAAUUGAAUACUUGGGGCACGUGAUCUCAGAGGCAGGAGUGAGUAUGGAUGUGGCUAAGGUGGAGUGUAUCAAGUCCUGGUCUGUUCCUAGUACAGUCAAGGAGCUGAGAGGGUUUUUGGGAUUAAUUGGUUACUACAGGAGAUUCAUUAAAGGCUAUGGAGUGAUUAGCAAACCCUUGACUGUAUUGUUGAAAAAGGAAGGUUUUGCAUGGAACCAUGAAGCUCAAAUGGCCUUUGAAGAUUUGAAAAAGGUUAUGACCACAGCCCCAGUGCUGAGCAUGCCUAAUUUCGAACUUCCUUUUGUCAUAGAGACUGAUGCCUGUGGAAUAGGUAUUGGAGCAGUGUUGAUGCAGCAAGGACAUCCUAUUGCUUUCCUUAGCAAGGCAUUAUCAGUUCAGAAUUUGGGGUUAUCAGUCUAUGAAAAAGAGCUUUUUGCCUUAGUGCUAGCUGUAACUAAGUGGAGGCAUUACCUGGUGGGUCAUCACUUCAUUAUCAGGACAGAUCACCAAGCUCUCAAACAUUUGAUAGAGCAAAGGCUUACUCAUCCACUCCAGCACAAGUGGCUAACUAAGCUACUUGGUUUGGACUAUGAAAUACAGUAUAAAAAGGGUGCAGACAAUGGGGUGGCAGACGCCCUCUCCAGGAGAAGGAUUGAGGGAAACACUGUUGACUGUGGAGAGACUGGGCAUCAGACCUGCGCCAUAACCUCAGCUCAGCCUAGUUGGAUGCAGGAAAUGCUAGAAAGCUACAUUGGAGAUGCAGAGGCUCAACAGAAGUUAUCUGAGCUAUUGCUGGAUCCCAAUGCAGAUCCAGAUUAUCAGUUAAAGAAUGGGAUGCUCAAGUUUAAAGGGCGGCUGUACAUAGGAUCUGCUAACAACAUUAGGACCAAGGUGGUCAGAGCAUUGCAUGACUCAGCCCUUGGGGGGCACUCAGGUCCUGGAAUCCGUAAGGAUGUCCUUCAAUAUGUGAGAUCUUGUGAUGUGUGUCAAAGGAACAAACAUGAAAAUGUUCCUUAUCCUGGGUUGCUGCAACCAAUUCCUGUACCUCAGCAGGCUUGGUCACACCUCACCAUGGAUUUUAUUGAGCAACUACCCCCAUCCCAUGGAUUUGAUACCAUUUUGGUGGUGGUGGAUAGGUUAACCAAGUUCAGCCACUUCAUUCGACUCACUCACCCUUUUUCUGCACAGCAGGUAGCACAGCUUUUCCUUGACAACAUAUACAAGCUGCAUGGACUUCCUGAGACCAUUAUAACUGACAGGGACAUAAUCUUUCUUAGUAAGUUUUGGCAAGAGUUAUUUGGUAUGGUAGGGGUAAAGCUGCACUACAGUUCAUCGUAUCACCCUCAAUCAGAUGGUCAAAGUGAAAGGGUCAAUCAGUGUUUGGAAAACUAUCUCAGGUGUAUGUGCAGUGAGCAUCCUUCUCACUGGAGCAGUUGGCUUCCUACAGCUGAGUUAUGGUACAACACUAACUUCCAUACUAGCUUGCAGGUGACACCAUUCGAAGCACUAUACGGGUAUAAACCAAAUCACCUUCCCUUAGGACCUUUUCAUGAUAGCCUGGUACCUGCUGCUGGUAACAUGGUGCAGACUAGGCUCCAAAUUCUAUCCCUCAUCAAAGAGAAUCUAGCCACCGCCCAGAAUCGAAUGAAAAUGUUUACUGAUAAGCACAGGACUGAACGUGUCUUCCAAGUGGGGGAUUGGGUAUUUCUCAAGCUGCAACCUUACAGGCAACAAUCAGUGGCCUUACGGAAGAAUUUGAAGUUGGCUGCCAAAUACUUUGGACCUUUCCAGAUCCUUGCGAGAGUAGGGGAAGUCGCCUACAGACUUAAGUUGCCAGAGGGAGCUCGAGUUCAUUCCGUGUUCCAUGUGUCCUUACUUAAAAGGAAAGUGGGAGUUACACAGCAGGUAAAGCCCAGCUUGCCAGAAGUAGACGCAUCAGACCAAUGUUUGCUGAAGCCAGAGAAGAUUCUCCAGAGGCGUGUUAUCAUACGAGCUGCCAAACCAAUCAUCCAGUACCUGGUGAAGUGGAACAACUUACCAGAAUCCGAAGCAUCAUGGGAGGAUAAAAGCUUCAUUGACAGACAAUUUCCGGAAUUUCAAGCUUGAGGACAAGCUUUGCUUAAGGGGAAGAGAUUGUCAGGAACAAGGAAAUAGAAUGGGACGUCGUUUAAUGCAAAGGGUUGUGCGUUUAAGGCCUUAGAAGCAAUACUACGUCAUUCUAAUAACAUAGGCGGUGCUGGUGUGAUAGGCCAAGUUAGUUGAGGGUCAAUUACAUAAAUAGCCUUCUGUAACAGAUUUUUGGUUAUGUUUUUGAAUGAAAAGUAUCUCGCUGCUUUCUCUCUCUUGUCUGUUAUUUCCCUCCCUUUUCUUCUUUCUCUCUUCCCUCUUCUUAAUCUUGUUUCUUUCUUCUGAUUCUUCCCCCAAAUUCAAUACAAUUCCAGAAAUUAACCUGCAGAUCUGACAAGGAGCCCUAUUCUAACCAAAUAACACACUACCAGGGUUAUUUUAGGUUAGCCCGCGUAUUCCCCUGACAUGAAUCCAAUCAUGCCAGUUAUCACUAUUUUGAAACAAUUAAACAAUUACGGAUUUAACGUCCCAAUUGACAAUAGAUUAUCAAAUUAACUAAUUAUCCGGAUCCAAAACAAUCAAUUAAUUAAAUAAUCAUAAGCACUGUAAUCAGGGAAUAUUUGAAUACCAAUAAAUAAAAAGAAAGGACAAAAUUAAAUCGAUUUCACAAUUUUUAAACGAACCACAACCUCAGUUGUUCCUCGGCUAGAUUGAGAAAAUUAGCUCAUGUUCGAUGCGAAAAAUCCACAAGAAAUUGUUAAGAGAGCCGCGGCCAUUGUCCCUUGAAAUUGGGGAAAUUCAAUUCGGUUGAACUACGAAAGAAAAGUAAGCUACAGAGAGUUGCCGAUUGGGUUUUGCUUGUCCCUAACAUGCGAGGGAGCAAAGCCACGAAAGGACGACAAAGGUCAAAAAGAAAGGCUACAGAGCAUGUUCCAGGUCUUUUUGUGCUCUCCACAUCCGAGCCAACGAAAAGAAAUAAAAAACUACCAGGAGCUAAAGGAAAACCGCAAGAAAAGUCAAAGGCUAAAAAAACUUCCUAGUGCUUGUUCUCUGCUUAUCUCUUUAUCUAAUUCUAAGUCCCCGAUUUUUUGCUCCGUGCGGCGGCUCCCCCGGAGAGAAAGGAUUGCAUCCGCUGCCCUCUUCCACCAAUUACCAAAAUGGGCACACCGCUUCUUUUUCAAAAAUGCUCCUGGAUAAACUCUAUCAUCUGGACUUUUUUUCUGUCAAAUUGACAUUUAUUAUUAUAUUUUCGUUCUACUCCCUGAAAUAAAUGUAAAAUAUUAAAAAUGAGUAGAAUCCGACAAUUAAUUCACAUCAGGUCAGAUAAUAAAGAAAAUUAAUAAUAAAAUAAAUAAAUAAAUUGCAACCUAUCAACCAAAUACAACAAUUUCAUGGAGUUUGAUACACAAGCCCAAAUACACGAGAGUGUGUAACCUGAAUUGUUACUUAUACAUUAGUGUGUAAUAGAACGGCAAGCAUUAUGGUGGUCAUUGAGCAACUUGUAGGAGAAAUAGUCCUAUAAGCUGUUCAAUGACCAAUCACAACUUGCUAAUUGGAUGACUAAUAUAGCUCUAGCUGUAAUGUUUUAAUUAAAUUCCAUCACUAACGUUGGGAUGACUUUUUAAUCAAAAAAAAAAAAGCCUUAGUUCAAGCUUUUCCCCUUAUUGUGCAUUUUUUAAAACAUUUGAUAGGCACUGCAAAUCUGUCAUUUUGGACAUUUUAUUAUUAACUAACAAUGAAAGCCGUGGACAUCAACCCAUAUCCAACAAAAUAUUAAAUUAAUAUUAGAAAAAAUUAUUAAGUAAUUGGAAAAAAAAAGAAGAGGCUAAUUUUCAUUGAAACCCACCGACAAACUAUACGCUGCUUUCAAUCAGUUUUAACACGGGAAAAAGAAAAGGCAUGAAAAGCAAAAUUUGUGGGGAUAAUUUCGGAAACCUCCCAUGAAGUUUUUGACUAUUUUACUGGCCUCCCUUCAGAUUUUAAAAAUUGGACUAAUCUUCCUUAAAGUUAAUUAUCUUGUAACAUUUAGAUCCGAUCAAUAAUUUAAAAAAUAAUAUUAUGAGAGAGAAAAUAAUAUGAUUUUAUUAUUGCCCCCAUCUCACCACAUUAUUUAAUUAAUUUAAUAGCAACCCACACAUUAAAGAAAAUGACAGGUCGUCAACCUGUGCAAUAAUAAAAUUAAACCUAAUUGCCAGUUAAAAUGACCAAAACCCAAUUCCAAGUACUGGAGCAGGGACUCUAGGUGUGCAAUGGGUUACUUGAUUCACCCUGUUCCCGAAGAGUUUGCUUGAUCCGAUAUACCCGAAUGGAAUGGUUAUUCCUUUUCACAAAUGAUUAGGAAUUUGUAGACAGGGCAAGUAGGGUCGUAUCCACAGAGACUGGGUAUAUUUGUUUCUUAAGAAAUCCAAAGUAACACAGGGGGUGAUUUUGUAGGAACGACGAUAAUUAAAUAAAUUCAAAUGAGAAAGUAAAAAUAAAUAAUUAACUAGAAAUUAAACCACAAUUUACUGAACUCAGGAUAACAAUAGUUAAAGGCCUCAAUUAAUUAAAAUAAGGAAACAAUCAAAAAUAAAAUAAAGUAGGUAAUUAAAAGUCAAAUGGCAAUCCACUACAAUCAAGGAAAUAUUAACUAAAGAUCUAGCCAAGAAAUAACUUCAGCAAUGGUUCACCUAAUCGAUCAUUGAUGCAAAGCAAUCCCAAUUAUUUACUAAUAAAUAGGUUAUAACUACCAAACAAGCGAUGGCAGUCAACCCCUCCUUACUGUGUCGGUGAUCAAGGUACGCCCGUUAAUCACUGCUCUAAUUGAGAAAUAAUCCUAGGUACGCCCGUAGAAUUUAAUUCCCCAACUGCCUUACGUAUUAGAGGAGCCCUAUUCUACCCAAAUAACACACUACCAGGGUUAUUUUAGAUUAGCCCGCGUAUCCCCCUGACACGAAUCUAAUCGUGCCAGUUGUCACUAAUUUGAGGUAAUUAAACAAUUACGGAUUCAAUACCCCAAUUGACAAUAGAUUAUCAAACCAAUGAAUUAUCCGGAUCCAAGACAAUCAACUAAUUAAAUAAUCAUAAGCACUGCAACCAAGGAAUAUGCGAAUACCAAUAAAUAAAGGAAAAGAUAAAAUUAAAUCGAUCUCACAAUUUACAGGUGACCCAAAGCAUCAGUCGUUUCUUGACUAGAACGAGGGGGUUAGCUCAUAUUGGAUGAACUAAGCCCGCGGGAAAUUCCAGCAAAAGUCACGGCCGUUGUAUGCAUUUCAAGAGCCGCAAUUCGUCAAACACUUGGAAAGCGAAUGUAAGGCACGGGUAACAAUUGAAACUUUCUAAUUGUUCCUAGCAUUCGUAAAGCAAAUUCACUCCAGAAGUACAGUGAGGAAAAGUCAAAGAAAGUGGGCUUCAAUUCCUUGCUCCUGACAUGCGUGGAGACAAGCCAAUGCAAGACUACAAUAAACUAACAAGGAAAAGUCAAGAAUUGGAGCUAAGCUCCCCUGCCAUGCGCAGGAAUCCCAAAAGUAAAAAGUAAAGCUUCAAAGAAAAGUCAACAAUUCUUCCUAAGCUACAGACGGAAGAUCCAGCACAAAAGCCAGCUCCCUUUUUGAUCCCUUUUUCCCCCUUCUUAUUGCGGCGGCUCACCAGGAGAGGAGAGCCCUCCGUCCGUCCUUUCUUCCGGAAAUUACCAAAAUGGGCAUGACAUCUUCUCUUCCAAAAGUGCCCCUGGGACAAGCUUUCUCAUCUGAAUUCUUUUUUUUUCCAAUUUGGCACCUGUUAUCAUAUUUAUAUUCUACUCCCUGAAAUAAACGUCAAAUACUAAAAGUGAGUAGAAUCCAGCAAAUAAAUCCACAUCAAGUCAGGUAAUAGGAGGAAUUAAUAAUAAAAUAAAUGAAUAAAUUGCACCCUAUCAAUUCCCUCCACACCUAAACCAUGCUUGUCCUCAAGCAUAAGAAAAGUAAACGAACACCAAAAUUCGACGAUAGCCAUUGCCCAAUCUCCUAUAUUGCCAAGACAUUCAAGAGAAAAACACAUAUCGAGCAUUGGUGAUUAGAAUCCCAGAAGCAUCCCCCCGGUUAGCCUCUAACCCCCAGAUUCCUUCAAUUUCCAACUUAACUACUCUAAGAAAGAGGAAUGGCACACAACAUUUAUCAGCUAGUGGUCCGAAUAUUCACACAAGUCUUCAUAUCCAAUCCAUAAACCGGCAAGCUUCCCUAUUAUUUAGUCUCUCUUUUUUUCCGUUUUUUUUCAUUUUCAUUCUUCCCCUCUUUUUUUUUUUUUUUUAAAGCAGUAGCAAUCAACACAAAAGACUUAGUCGUUAGCCGUCAGGGCCUUUUGAUGCGAACUCCAACAUUUUUAGAAGGAGGAGCCCGGUUACUCAGCUCCUACCGCUAUACGACCACGCACUCAUAUAAAAUACCACCUUUUGACGCGAGAAUCGACACUUUUAGGUGCCGAUCCCCGGUUACUCAGUAGUAACUUAAUAGCGGAGCACAGUCAAGCUUAUUCUCAGCCAAACAAUGCACAAACGCAAAAUAACAGCACUAACAAUCAAACAUAGGAGCAGCUCGCCUCAUUAUUGUCAAACAUGGAGAACUGGAGUCAAUAUUGGACCAGUUCACAUUAAAAGGCCAUAUUCAUUCCCUACGCCUAGAAAAGUUAACAAAGAAAUCGAAAGAGUCAAACAGUUAAAUAUUCACCAAGGGGAUAUUCAGGACCCAACCACACUAACCCGAUACAUUUUGUAUUUUAAAAACUUGGCAAAAGUAGAUUUGGAGUCAAUGAGUCCACAUCUCAAUUUUAGCCUUCACAUGAAAGGCAAUCACCAAGAAGAAAGAACGGAAAAAUAAGCAACUAGAAAUGAGACUACGAAAAACUACUAAAACUAAAAACUCACUUUUUUUCUUUUUCUCUUUUUUUUUCUUUUUGAAUUUUUUUUUCAUUUUUAUUUUUUUUUAUUUUUUUUAUUUUUUAAACAUUAACUAUAAACAUUAACUACUAAAAACUAAAAACUAAAACUACUAAAAACUAAAAACACUAAAAACUGCUAAAAUGAAAAGCUGAAAACUGAAAACUACUAAAAACGGAGCACACUAGCAUAACUUUAGAUCCCCCCCACACCUAUAGGACACAUUGUCCUCAAUGUGACAAAUAAGAACCAAAAGUGAAGCACAAGUGAGAGGGGAAUCAGCCAAACUUCCCUGAAAUCGGGUCACAGCGGAGGGCGAGGUGGAAAUGGAGGUGCAAAGCCUGUAUGCAUCAGGAACUGUGCCAAAUUCUGUGCUAUGCCGGCGACAUUGGCGUCGACGUUGGUCAUCCGGGCCUGCAAAUCCUGAACCAGCUCCCUGAGAUGCUGCCAAUCAUCGGUCCCAGGUGGUGGAGGUGGCGCAGAAGUAGAGGUAGACGGCCCAGCAGUGUCCGCGGCCGACCCAGGGAAUGAAGAUGGCCCUGCCCGGGCCGAAUGGUGUGCACCCGGGGCUCGAGGUGGUCCCGGACGGGUAAACUGGUGAAAACCAUCUGGCAGACGCUCGACGACCCCCAUUUUCUCUAAGCAAACUACGUCCAAGUGCUCCAUCUCAAAUGCCAAAUGGAGGUCGUGGUCAUCCAGGUUAAGAACUCCCAACUGGGUCGCCAAGUGAGUGAUGUAGGACCCAAGGAUCAGUGGUUUGUUCUUCUUGGUCAAGACCGUCUUGAACUGUGCGGCCAACCAACAUCCCAAGUUCACCUUGAUAUUGUUCUUCAUACUCCAGAGAAAGAAGAAUUCGGGCCGAGAGAGUAUACCGGAGCUGUCCUUGCGCCCCGAGUAGCUAUAAGCUAAGAAUCGCUGAACAUAGCGGGCGCUAGGGUCCUUAAGAAAGGAGCUCCUGGACCGGGAAGGAUCGUAGCGUUGCCUAUCGACGGACAUGUCCUCCCAUACAUCAUGGUAGUGGGAGAGGAAAGGCUCUACGUAGUCACAGGCACUCUCCGCAUACUCCCUAGUCUCAGCAUACUCUCUAGUGAUAAACCCAAAUGCCAGAUUGAAUUGAGUAAUGGAGAAAUUGAAUUCUCGACCCAUGAGCCGGAAAUGAAUGACAUUCGGUGUUUCACCCGUGUAUCUCGUAGGUAAUUCGAACUCAAAGGUGGAGUAAAACUCCCGGAUCAGCUCAACAAAAGCGGGACAAGAAAUAUGGAAAUAUGGGCGCCACCCAAUGGCUGUGAACAUUUGCUCAACCUCCUCCCGUAUACCCAGGGCAGUUAGAGAGAGUCUAUGACAAGACUUACAGGAUAUUAUACGCCUCUCGCAGACCUUAGCGUACCUCUGCCGAUCGGCGGGUCUGGUAAAUGUUAAGUGCCCCCCAAAAUGAACAGGUGCAUCUACCUGAGCACCCCUAUCCCUACCCAAACGGGUUCGAACACUAGAAGAGGAGGGUAGGUUGGUAGGUGAGUUGACAGGAAUAGAGGCUUGUGGAGGGGGUUGAGACUGAGAGGUCCUAGACCUAGAGGAGGAUUUCGGUCUCACCAUUCCCCCCAAAGUAAGUUCAAGGCAACAGAAAAUCCGACAAGUAUAGAAACCAGCAAUUGACAAAGCAAAAAUCUCCCAGUAGUAACCCAGCCAAUAGCAAACAAAAGAGUUCCAGCAAGUAAUCAACAAGCAAUUCAGAAAUAUCUCAACUAAAAUCUCAAGAGAAACCCCAGCGAGUUAUCCAGCAAUUCAAGCAAUAUCCCCAAGCAAUGUGGUGGUCAAAAUGUCAUCUCCAAAUUGAACAAAUAAUCAGAGCAUUGCAACACAUUGAAAAUCUCAAUAAACGGCUCCAGUUGGCCAAGAAAAAUUGCUAACUCAUACUCAGCAAUAGUAGUGCAGCAAAGGGACAGUAACCACGCAAUAAAAACACUUAGCUUGCACUCAAAUGGUCACCCCAAAUAACAACCCAGUAUGAAACCCGCAGGCAGAGUAUUCCUCAAACCGUUAGCCUAAACCCAGUCAACAACCACGGCCAGAAAUAACCCCAUAAAUAGUGCAAUGAGUAAUCCCCAGCAACAUAAUCAGGUGUAAUCAACUGGAGCAAGCAAUUUACAUGGCAUAGAAACCUCCCAAUCAAACAAGUGCAUUAUUCUAGCGCACCCCAAAAUUCCAAGAAAUGGCUCCAGUUGGCCAAUUAAUUUCACAAUGUCACCCAACUCAGGAGAAAUAGCAAUUCCACACAAAAAUAGUCAAACCAGUACCACUGGCGAAAAAUCUUUCAAAUAUGCACAAUUUGCUACCAAAUAUCACCGGCUAACACUGAAAAAUUGAGGGCAAGUGUCAAAUACCUCCACAGGGACUACCCCAGGCGGCAGACAGAGAAGCGGCGUUGAAGCUGGUGGUCGAGCGGGGCGGCGCUCGCGUCGGCGUGCGCAGCGGCGACGGCGCGCGAGGAUGGAGUUUCGGGAGGUUGCGUGCGGGCUUGGCUGAAGACGCGGCGCGCGCUAGGGCUUCGCUGCGGCAGGCGUGCAGCAGGGGAGAAGAAAGAAAAGAGAAAGAAAGAAAGAAAAAGAAAGGAAAGAAAGAACAGAAAAGAAGGAAAAGAAAAAGGAAUUUUUCUUUUUUUUCUUUUUCUUUAGGCUACGGUUUAGAGGACAAAUUUUUCUUCUUCUUGUUUUCUACUUUUUUAUUUUUUUAUUUUUUAGUUUUUAAUUUAUUACUAUUAUUAUCAUAUUUAAUUGAGGAAAAAAAAUGUUUUUUUUUAAAUCCCUACCUUUCCCACGAACGUGACGCGGGCACGUCAAGAGGGCAAGAGAGCUCCCAGAAGUUUCAGAAUUUUCUGAUCGUAAGCGUCCUGCACAUCACCACGCGGGCACGUCAUGAGGACAGGAGAGCUCCCAGAAGUUCAGAAUUUUCUGAUCGUGAGCGCCCUGCACGUCACCACGCGGGCACGUCAUGAGGCCAGGAGAGCUCCCAGAAGUUUGAAGUUUCUGAUUCCUGCCCGUCAUCACGCGGGCGCGUCAUGACUGAAGGUCACCUACAAAUCAGCAAAAACGAAAACUAACACCCAAAAUCAGUCAAAUUCAGGGAAAGCAGAUUUAAACUAUGCUACAAAACCAACAAACAAUUAAAAGAAAUAAUUAGGUUGCCUCCCAAUGAGCGCCUUUCUUUAAUGUCUUUGGCUAGACAUGGUAAAGUGUCACUGAUUAGGACACGGUGGUGCGUCAAGCCUUAUUGUCUCCACCUCUCUACCUGAAAAUCCUUCGUAAUAAUAUUUGAGACGGUGUCCAUUCACCACAAAUUUGUUGUCUGUCUUAGCACUCUGGAUCUCAACUGCACCAUAGGGAAAAACAUGAGUAACAAUGAAAGGUCCAAUCCAACGGGAACGUAGCUUACCUGGGAAUAGCUUGAGCCUGGAUUGGUACAGGAGGACCUUCUGACCAACUUCAAAUGUUUUUCUUGAAAUUUGUUGGUCAUGAAAUGCCCGGCUUUUCUCCUUAUAUAUCAAGGCGUUUUCGUAUGCUUCGUUCCGGAUCUCCUCCAAUUCUUGCAAAUCCAACUUCCGUUGAGCACCGGCCUCCUCUAAAUUCAUAUUGCAGUGCUUUAUCGCCCAAAAAGCCUUGUGCUCGAACUCCACUGGAAGGUGACACGGCUUCCCAAAUACCAACCUGUACGGUGACAUCCCAAUAGGAGUCUUGUACGCCGUCCGAUAGGCCCAGAGUGCGUCUUCCAACCUUUGGCUCCAGUCUUUUCUAUCAGGGCGCACCAUUUUCUCUAAAAUGGACUUAAUCUCCCGAUUCGACACCUCCGCUUGACCAUUGGUCUGAGGGUGGUAUGACGUUGAGACCCUGUGGAGUACACCAUACUUGCGAAACAACGCAGCUAUGGUUUUGUUGCAAAAGUACGUUCCCCUAUCACUGACAAUAGCUCUAGGCAUUCCAAACCGCACAAAGAUAUUAGACCUGAUAAAAUCUGCAACUACUCUCGAAUCAUUAGUUCGAGUGGCCUUAGCCUCCACCCAUUUAGACACAUAAUCAACUGCCAGCAAAAUAUAUAAAAAACCAAAUGAAGUAGGAAAAGGCCCCAUGAAAUCUAUACCCCAGACAUCAAAAAUUUCAACAAAAAUCAACGGGACCUGGGGCAUUUGAUCUCUACGGGCUAUAUUACCUACCAUUUGACAGCGAUCACAUGACUUACAAAACACAUAGGCAUCUCUAAACAAUGAAGGCCAAUAAAAUCCACUUUCUAAAACCUUAUGAGCAGUUCUCUUAGGUCCAAAAUGACCUCCACAGGCAAAAGUAUGACAAAAAGCUAAAAUUGAUUGAAAUUCCAUUUCACUUACACAUCUCCUCAUCACUUGAUCGGCACACCUCUUCCAUAGGUACGGGUCAUCCCAGAUAAAAUACUUGGCAUCGCUCUUCAAUUUAUCCCUCUUCGAUUUCGGCCAACCUGCAGGAAAAUUACCAGUUACCAAAUAAUUGACCAAAUCAGCAUACCAAGGCAACUGAGAAUUUAAGAAAAAUAGGUAUUCUUCGGGGAAUGCAUCCUUCAAUGGCUCGCUAUCCUCUUCAACUAGUAUGCGACUCAAAUGGUCCGCUACUAGAUUUUCUGAGCCUUUUUUGUCCCUUAUCUCCAAGUCAAAUUCCUGUAGGAGCAGUAUCCACCGUAUGAGCCUCGGUUUUGCAUCUUUCUUGGUCAUCAGGUACCUCAAUGCUGCAUGAUCAGAAAAUACAAUCACUUUAGCACCUAACAAGUAUGACCUAAAUUUUUCCAAAGCAAAAAUAACUGCCAGAAGCUCCUUCUCAGUGGUGGAAUAAUUCAACUGGGCUCCAUUCAAGGCCCGGGAUGCGUAAUAGAUGACAUGAGCCGCCUUGCCUAUUCUUUGCCCCAGUACAGCCCCAACAGCGUGAUCACUGGCAUCGCACAUGAUCUCAAAUGGCAAAUUCCAAUCGGGGGGUUGGAUGAUUGGGGGUGAAGUCAGCAAUUCCUUCAGCUUGUUAAAGGCUCUCUCACACUUAUCAUCAAAUUCGAAGGCUACAUCUUUUUGUAGGAGUUGGAACAACGGGGCUCCAAUCUUUGAAAAAUCCUUGAUGAACCUUCGAUAAAAACCUGCAUGUCCAAGAAAAGAGCGCACCUCCCGCACACUCGCGGGGUAAGGUAAUGCAGAAAUAAUGUCUAUUUUAGCCUUGUCAACUUCUAUGCCCUUAGACGAUACAAUAUGACCCAGGACUAUUCCGUGCUCAACCAUAAAAUGACAUUUUUCCCAAUUAAGCACAAGAUUAGUCUCUAUACACCUGAUCAGGAUUAAUUUCAGGUUAUCUAGACAAGUAUCAAAACUAUCACCAUACACACUGAAAUCAUCCAUGAAAACUUCUAUUAUUUUCUCAACAUACUCGGAAAAGAUGCUUACCAUACAUCUUUGGAAAGUCGCAGGUGCAUUGCACAACCCAAAUGGCAUUCGUCUGUAGGCAAAGGUCCCGAACGGGCACGUGAAGGUUGUCUUCUCUUGAUCCUCCGGGGCAAUUGCUAUCUGAAAGUAUCCUGAAAAUCCAUCCAAAAAGCAAUAAUAAGCCCUACCAGCUAAACGUUCAACCAUUUGGUCAAUGAAAGGGAGAGGGAAAUGGUCCUUUUUGGUGACGGCGUUUAGCCUACGGUAAUCUAUACAUUGCCUCCAUCCAGUGGGUUUGCGCACUGGCACGAGCUCACCAGUUUGGUUGGCCUCUACCGUCACUCCUGCAUUCUUUGGGACUACCUGGACCGGACUCACCCAAGGGCUAUCAGAUAUUGCAAAAAUGAUGCCCACAUCUAGCAAUUUUAGAAUCUCUUUCUUUACGACUUCCAUCAUGAGGGGAUUGAGCCUUCUUUGAGCCUGCCUAACAGGUUUGGCAUCGUCUUCCAGCCUAAUCCGGUGCAUACAAAUGGCCGGGCUGAUCCCCUUAAUGUCUGCGAUUGUCCAGCCUAUUGCCUCUUUAUGCUCCCGAAGGACCCGGAUCAAUUUCUCUUCCUGGGUCUUUGACAGUGCCGAUGAGAUAAUCACUGGGAGUGUCUCAUUAUCACCUAGGUAUGCGUAUUUCAGGUGCUCUGGUAGAGGUUUCAACUCCAGUACAGGUGCCUGCACCACAGAUGGCAAUACCCUCUGGUGAGCCUUGGGAGUAAAAAUAGGUAAGACUUCAUACCUUUUCGUGGUGGUCUGCAACGAGUGUAAUGCACCUAUUGUGCAUUUUAAAUCCUCGCUCCACUCCACCUCAGGAGUUGUCUCCAACUCGAGGUGCUUGGUUAAAGCCACCUCCAGCUCAUCCCUGCCAUCAGUUUCAAACACUUCCUGCACUACAGGGUCAAUAGCACUCACAGAAAAAACUGAGCUAAAGUUGGAGUUAGAGGGGUACUUCAUAGUAUCAAAAAUAUUAAAAUGCACAAUUUACCCAUCAAACUCCAUGGACAAGGUACCCUUAUUAACAUCAAUUUUCGUCUGCGCAGUGCUCAUAAAAGGUCUACCCAAUAACAAAGGUGAGGGAUCAGGGGAGUGAUCAUCAUCCAUAUCUAGUACAUAAAAAUCAGCUGGAAACACCAAAUCAUUAACCUUUACCAACACAUCUUCAAUCAACCCAUCAGGAUAUGCAUUAGUUCGGUCAGCUAAUUGAAUAAUUAUUCCAGUUUCUUUUAAUGGACCUAGUUUCAAAGAAGCAUAGAUAGAUUUAGGCAUGACAUUAAUUGAUGCUCCCAGAUCCAGCAUGGCCCUUCUGAUCACAGUAUUACCUAUCUUACAGGGAAUAGUAAACAUACCUGGGUCCCCGCACUUUGGUGGGAGCUUUCUCUGCAGGACCGCAGACACAUUUUCUCCAACUAUGACCCGUUCAUCUCCCCUCAACCGCCUUCGGUUGACACACAAGUCCCUUAGGAACUUGGCAUAUUUUGGUACUUGUUUGAUGGCGUCUAAGAGGGGGAUAUUUAUCUCAACCUUGCGAAAAACCUCCAAGAUCUCCUUCUCCUUAUCCUGCUUCUUCGAUUUUUCCAACCUGCUAGGAAAAGGAGGCGGGUUAGUUUUAACUGUAAUUAUUGGGUCAGGAAGUACCUCUGGAUCUGCACCAUUGCUGUCCUCCCUUUCGAGCUCAUUUUCGAUCUUCUCUUCAUCCUUGUCCUUGGGAAUCACAGGUUCAGGCCCCUGAAUUUCUUUCCCACUCCUUAGGAUCAUUGCGCUCACGUUCUUCGGAUUCAACUCCGGUUGAGAUGGCAGCUUCCCUUGGUUCUGGGACUCCCAACGGUUCAUUCUGGUGGCCAAUUGACCUAUCUGAUUCCUUAUGUCCUGCAUUUCGGAGUCCGUCUUUUGCUGAUUUUGCAUAAUAGCUGCCUCCGUCCUUUGCUGAUUCUGCGCCAUGGUUGUCAUCAUUUGUUUCAGCAUCUCAUCCGUAGAUGAACCAGAUUGAGGGAGCGGAGGUGGUCGGGGUUGGUAUUGCUGCUGGUACCCUGGUGGCUUAUUUGGCACAAAGUUAGACUGCCUGUUUGGCGUGAAGUUGGAUUGCCUAUUUCCACCAUAACUGAGGUUGGGAUGAUCUCUCCACCCGGGGUUGUAGGUGCUUGAGUAAGGGUCGUACUGCUUCCUUGGCGCGGGCGCGUGGUCAGCCAUGUUCACCUGUUCCGCAGUUUCUUCCUGAAUCAUUGGGCACAUGUCUGCAGAGUGACCUAUACCAGUGCAAAUCCCGCAUACCCUGGCUUGUGAUGCAUUUCUCACAGCCUAUUGCCUAACGAACGCAGUCAACUCAUUUAGCUGCUGCUGCACAGAGGGUGUCUCUAUCUCAUUCACCCUACGUAUUGGGACAUCCUAUCUUGUACUGAAUUGCUGUGAAUUCUCUGCCAUCCCCUCUAUUAACUCCCGUGCUUCCUGAGGGGUUUUGUUCACCAGUGCCCCUCCACUUGCAGCAUCAAUGAUGCUCCUGUCUCUAAAAAUGAGCCCCUCAUAGAAAUAUUGUAUGAUCAACUGCUCACUUAUUUGGUGAUGGGGGCACCUGCGCAACAAGCUCUUAUACCGUUCCCAAUACUCGUAAAGUGACUCCUCGGGAUGCUGCUUGAUCCCACAAAUUUCUUUCCUUAGACUCGCAGCCCUGGACGCAGGAAAAUAUUUAUCCAGAAAUUUUUUCUUCAAUUGGUCCCACGUGGUGAUGCUACCUGGUGACAGGUAGUACAGCCAGUCCUUCGCAGAAUCUUUCAAGGAGAAGGGGAAUGCCCUCAUUUUUAUCUGCUCUUCUGUGAUUCCCGGGGGUUUCAUACUGUUGCAAACGACAUCAAACUCCUGCAGAUGCUUAUACGGCUCUUCACCUGGUAAACCAUGAAAAGAGAGUAAAAGCUGAAUCAGACCAGAUUUUAGUUCAAAUGGAAUGUUGUCAUUUAAAGCUGGGAAAGUAAUGCAUAACGGCUGCUGAGUUAAAUCAGGAGCAGCCAACUCCCUUAAUGUUUAUGCAUUAGCCAUGGUGCCUUCCUGCUGGUCAGAGUCACUCGAAGUGUUACCAAACGAAUCUGUUGGUUCAACUUCUGACUCGGGUCUUUGAGAUGUAGCACUAGAGUGCUCUUCUCUGAGCUGUCUGGUUUCCUUUCUCGUUCUACGCGCGGUCUUCUCUACCUCAGGAUCAAAAACCAAAUCACCUGUGCGACAAGAUCGAGGCAUACACUAGAAGAAAACCAGAAAAUUAGGACAAAAUUGAAUUUAAGAAGAAACAAAUAAUAACGCCAGUCCCCGGCAACGGCGCCAAAAAUUGACAGGUCGUCAACCUGUGCAAUAAUAAAAUUAAACCUAAUUGCCAGUUAAAAUGACCAAAACCCAAUUCCAAGUACUGGAGCAGGGACUCUAGGUGUGCAAUGGGUUACUUGAUUCACCCUGUUCCCGAAGAGUUUGCUUGAUCCGAUAUACCCGAAUGGAAUGGUUAUUCCUUUUCACAAAUGAUUAGGAAUUUGUAGACAGGGCAAGUAGGGUCGUAUCCACAGAGACUGGGUAUAUUUGUUUCUUAAGAAAUCCAAAGUAACACAGGGGGUGAUUUUGUAGGAACGACGAUAAUUAAAUAAAUUCAAAUGAGAAAGUAAAAAUAAAUAAUUAACUAGAAAUUAAACCACAAUUUACUGAACUCAGGAUAACAAUAGUUAAAGGCCUCAAUUAAUUAAAAUAAGGAAACAAUCAAAAAUAAAAUAAAGUAGGUAAUUAAAAGUCAAAUGGCAAUCCACUACAAUCAAGGAAAUAUUAACUAAAGAUCUAGCCAAGAAAUAACUUCAGCAAUGGUUCACCUAAUCGAUCAUUGAUGCAAAGCAAUCCCAAUUAUUUACUAAUAAAUAGGUUAUAACUACCAAACAAGCGAUGGCAGUCAACCCCUCCUUACUGUGUCGGUGAUCAAGGUACGCCCGUUAAUCACUGCUCUAAUUGAGAAAUAAUCCUAGGUACGCCCGUAGAAUUUAAUUCCCCAACUGCCUUACGUAUUAGAGGAGCCCUAUUCUACCCAAAUAACACACUACCAGGGUUAUUUUAGAUUAGCCCGCGUAUCCCCCUGACACGAAUCUAAUCGUGCCAGUUGUCACUAAUUUGAGGUAAUUAAACAAUUACGGAUUCAAUACCCCAAUUGACAAUAGAUUAUCAAACCAAUGAAUUAUCCGGAUCCAAGACAAUCAACUAAUUAAAUAAUCAUAAGCACUGCAACCAAGGAAUAUGCGAAUACCAAUAAAUAAAGGAAAAGAUAAAAUUAAAUCGAUCUCACAAUUUACAGGUGAUCCAAAGCAUCAGUCGUUUCUUGACUAGAACGAGGGGGUUAGCUCAUAUUGGAUGAACUAAGCCCGCGGGAAAUUCCAGCAAAAGUCACGGCCGUUGUAUGCAUUUCAAGAGCCGCAAUUCGUCAAACACUUGGAAAGCGAAUGUAAGGCACGGGUAACAAUUGAAGCUUUCUAAUUGUUCCUAGCAUUCGUAAAGCAAAUUCACUCCAGAAGUACAGUGAGGAAAAGUCAAAGAAAGUGGGCUUCAAUUCCUUGCUCCUGACAUGCGUGGAGACAAGCCAAUGCAAGACUACAAUAAACUAACAAGGAAAAGUCAAGAAUUGGAGCUAAGCUCCCCUGCCAUGCGCAGGAAUCCGAAAAGUAAAAAGUAAAGCUUCAAAGAAAAGUCAACAAUUCUUCCUAAGCUACAGACGGAAGAUCCAGCACAAAAGCCAGCUCCCUUUUUUAUCCCUUUUUCCCCCUUCUUAUUGCGGCGGCUCACCAGGAGAGGAGAGCCCUCCGUCCGUCCUUUCUUCCGAAAAUUACCAAAAUGGGCAUGACAUCUUCUCUUCCAAAAGUGCCCCUGGGACAAGCUUUCUCAUCUGAAUUCUUUUUUUUUCCAAUUUGGCACCUGUUAUCAUAUUUAUAUUCUACUCCCUGAAAUAAACGUCAAAUACUAAAAGUGAGUAGAAUCCAGCAAAUAAAUCCACAUCAAGUCAGGUAAUAGGAGGAAUUAAUAAUAAAAUAAAUGAAUAAAUUGCACCCUAUCAGAAAAAUGCAAAAAUUUGUUAUUUAUCAUUAAGGAUCAUAUCGCAUAUAACAUCAAAAAAUAGUAUAUUAUUUAUAUCUUUCACUUAAUAUAAUAUCCAAAUUACUCUUUUCAGUUACAUACCCAUUGUUAGACAAAAUCAACAACAAAUAACCAAAAAAUUUGCAACCAAAAUAUUACCAAAAAAAUAAACUUUAACAUCAUAAAUAUUUUUAUCAACAUAUUAAAGUUAGUUAUUGAAAUUUUUAUGGUGUUAAACUUCACUCUUAGCAAUAUUUUGGUUACAGAUUUUUUUGAUUAUUUAUUGUUGAUCGUGUUUGACAAUGGAUUUGUAACUGAAAAGAAUAAUUUGAAUCUUACAUUAAGUGAAAUAUAUAAAAUAUUAUACUAUUUUUUAUGGCAUAUGUGAUUCUUUUUUUUUUUUUUAUCAGAACGGCAACAUUGUAUUAAUAGUAAACCAAUUACAGUAUAGGUGGGCAACCGCCCUCACAAUCUGCCUGGACUUGUUCCAGCAGCCAAACUGGGAAGUUUUCCUUCCAUUCAGUAUUUUGUUCCAAAGUAAUAGCUACUUUAGCUAGUUUAUGGCUAACAAAGUUGUUCACCCUAUUUGCAAAGGUAAAACAACAUUCAUCAAAUUUUAUUCAUGUACAAUUGUUGCUAUCACCACGUCCUCCUCCUCCUCCUCACUGCACACUACUUGACUACCACCCUUCGCCAACCUUGCUGUUGCAUGUGCAACUAUCAUGGCCUCUCUUAGCGCCUUUGCUUCUUCGACCUUUGGACUGGCACAGCUAAAAUUUGGAACAGCCCAGGCCCACCCGCAAUCUUCCCAACCAAUCCCUGGCCACCCUUUUCCCACCCAGCUUCUAUGGCAUGUGUGAUUCAAUCCUUCUUGAUAGGAUUGGUAAUAGAGGCAGAGGGGGGAGCCGGCUGCAUCCGGUCUACUUUUCAUAGAUAGUACAAUAUUGCGAAAUCGAUCGCAUUCACACAAGAAUAUUUCGAAGUCAUUGCAUCGCUAAGUUGCAAAAAAGUACAAACACUUGUUAUUAUAUAGCUUAAGAUUCAAAACUUUAGAGCACAACCCUCCACCUAACACAAUUGAAUAAUGAAUAUUCACGAUUGUCAAAUCUGUCAAAGCACAGUUUGAGGACAACCCAUUCCAACCUGCAAAAGAUUUUUGACUUUUUUAAAGUUGUUGAGAGCUGUAAAAAGACUUACCAUGCUUACAUCUUCCGAGCCUUGGGAGUUAAAAAUGAAGGCACUGAGUGCUAUAAAAAGGGGGCUAGAGGCUGCCUAGAAGCAUAUCAGCCUAAAACAAGAAUUUGUAGUUAUGAUGGGAAGCAAAGCAAAAGCAAUGGGGUCUGGGCUGACUCCUCUUCUUACCACUGUUUUAGUGGUAUUUGUUGCUCUUGGCUUGCCCUCAGAAACUGCAGCUGAUGAUCACUACAAGUAUUCAUCUCCUCCUCCUCCUUACCACUAUCCCUCACCACCACCUCCAGUGCAUUUACCUCCACCAGUGUACAAAUACAAGUCCCCACCACCACCUCAUCAUGUUUACAAGUACAAAUCUCCACCACCCCCACCACCACACCCAGUUUACAAGUAUAAGUCGCCACCACCACCUCCUCAUCCGGUAUACAAGUACAAGUCUCCUCCGCCACCUCCUCAUCCGGUACCACACCCAGUUUACAAGUAUAAGUCACCACCACCACCUCCUCAUCCGGUACCACACCCAGUUUACAAGUAUAAGUCUCCUCCGCCACCAGUUUACAAAUAUAAGUCUCCUCCACCACCACCUCCAGUGUACAAAUACAAGUCUCCACCACCACCAGUUUACCACUACAAGUCUCCACCACCUCCUCCCCCAGUUUACAAAUACAAGUCUCCACCACCACCACCACCAGUUUACCACUACAAGUCACCACCACCUCCUCCCCCAGUUUACAAAUACAAGUCUCCACCACCUCCUCACCACUACUAAGCAAUUGCUUCUGAGGUAAUAACACUUGUUCAAUAUACCCACUUCUGCAUGAUAAAGCAUAUCUCUAUCAACACAAACUGUCAUGUCUAUCAUGCUAAGUGCCUUCACUUCAUCCACCAAAAUGACUGCUAGAAAAUUUUUUUUAUGUUACCAAAGAAAGGCAUCAUUUUUUCCCUCUGUUAUCAAGAACUUGUACAGUAUAUAGAUUAAAGAGUAUUUUUUUAACUAGCUUAUCAACUGAGAAAUGCAUAUAGCUGAUAGCCAGCUGAAUAUUUGCAGGCAAAGGAGAAGGAAACCAGUGUUUGAGACCUUCUUGAAGAUGUAGAAGCAUAAGAAUUAAAGCCCAAUGUGAAGAUGAUGAUUUCAAGUUUUUCUACGUUACCAUUUCUUUAUCUAAAUUGGUUGUAGCGCCUUAGUUCCUUUGUUUAUGGGAUUUGUAUCGUUUUACGUACCAUGCAGUACAUGUCAUGUUUGUAAGGUUUUCUAUCCUGCCGGCAAACCGCAGGUUCCAUGUAAUAAAUCAAUACUAUUUAUAUUACGACACUUUUCUCUGUUUCUCUUAUAUUUUGUCGUCUUUAAUAUUCUUAAUCAUAUUUUUAACAAAAAUAUUCAAACACUUAGGCAAUCUGGUCUAAUGCUAAUUGUAUGUUUUACUUUUCUUUUUCACCUGCUCCCCUUUUCAACUCAAAAGGAUGCAAUAGUUUGUGAUCACUGUUGAAGACGGAAGCAUGAUACUAAUGAAUAUAUCAUUGAAACUCAAGGAAACUAACAUUAUGAAAAGUGUAAAUCUUGAUUUGAUGCAACUAUUUAUUCGUGGAAUCUAUAGUUACAAAACUCAAACUCUGACUGCGCCAUUGAUAAAUUAUUAAUGACGCUAUCAUCAUUAUUUAUCCCCAACUAGUUUCGACUACAACUGAACCCAAUAUUUUCCCCAUGAUAAAAGUUUUUUACUAUUUUACUGGCCUCUCUUCAAAUUUUAAAAAUUACACUAAUCUUCAUUGAGAUUAAUUAUCUUGUAGCAUUUAAGUCCAAUUAAUAAUUAAAAAAUAAUAUUAUGAGAGAGAAAAUAAUAUAAUUUUAUCAUUGCCCCCCAUCUUGCUAUAUUAUUUAAUUAAUUUAAUAGCAACCCACACAUUAAAGAAAAAUACUAAAAUUUGCUGCUUUUCAUUAAAGAUCAAAUUGCAUAUGCCAUAAAACAUAGUAUAUCAUUCUAUAUGUUUCACUUAAUGUAAGAUCCCAAUUGUUCUUUUCAAUUACAAACCCAUUGUCAAACAUGAUCAAUAACAAAUAACCAAAAAAUUUGCAACCAAAAUAUUACAAAAAAAAACUUUAACAUCAUAAAUAUUCUUACCACCUCUAGUGCAUUCACCCUCAUAAAAUAAUUCAAGACCCUACUGUCAUAAAAUGACUGAUCAACUCCUGUAAACCUAAUUUGACAACAUUUAAAUGGAGAACUUUAGCUAAAAGAAUUAUGGUCAAGCUAAAGAAAAAACCAGUUAUUUUCCAACAUAUGCAAUCAUUGAUCAGGGAAAAAAAAAAGAAGCAAAAAGACAUCUUCAAUCAUUUAAUAGCUUACAGGGCAAAUUAACCCCUAAGCGAAAACUGGUUGCUCUAGAAUCAAAAUUUUACUUUAGUUACCCAGGCAACUUUUUUUGUUGCCUUUUCUUUUUCUUUUUUGGGUAUAUAUAUAGCUCCAGUUUUGCCCCCUCUGUCAAGCUUAUAUAAUUAUUAAGAUAAUAAAAGUGCCUUUAAUAGUAUUAAUAUAUCCAUUGACUUGAGCUGUCAUCGAUCGGUUUGGGCUACUUCGAUUCCAUGAGAACAAAUGGUAAUAAAAGUACUCAGAAAAUGGGGAGUCAUGAAACCCUUUUGUUCUAUUCAUUGCUAAGAUGCUUUUCUCUAUAAAGACACUUCCUAACGAAAAUACUUUGUAGAUUUCUUUACUCCAAGUGGUGCAUGGAAAAUUAAUAUUUUCAAUUAUCAAAUAAAAUUCCCUUUUUUCGGUGUAGAUUUCAUCCAUUCAGCUGUUAACACUCCGAAUUGACUAAUCUUUUCGUUUCCAUUUUCCAACUUGCGAAUACGGCAUCUUACAUAUUGUCUGCUGAAUAUGAAUACAUAUCCCUUUUCUGAGCAGGUGCAGAGUCAUUAUCAUUUUUAUUCCCACCUAACAAAUUAGUUAAUAAUCUUUUAAAGAACAUGUUAAAUUAAUUUAUUGGUAUGAAUAGUAGUCAAAGAAGUAUGUUAAAGUUAGUAAUCUUUAAAAUAAUAUGUUAAAAUUAUUCGUACAAAUUAGCCAGAGAAGUAGCAUAAACACCGCGAUGCAAUUAAUACUUUCAAUCUCAAGGUCUCUAUUAUGGAAAUUUGCAUCGGUCAACAUACACAAAGCAUUAUUGUAUGCACGUCUCUCUAUUAUGGAAAUUUGCAUAGGUCAAUAUACACUUGGCAUAGUUGCAUGCACGUCCAAUUUUUUUUUAUUUUUAUUUUUGGUAUUUUACUUCCUGCCUUAAGUUGCCUGCAGAUGUUUGUAUUACAAAUAUAUGGUAUACUAAAUAUAUAGUAUGCACAUUAAUUUCUUUGGGUUGCUUAAGGGUAUAUUGUUAAUAAUAGGGGGUUUAACCAUAAAUUAUAACAAUGAUGAAGUAAUAUAUAUUAGAAAAUUAACACAAUUAUGAUUUUUUUUUUUGUAAAAUUCAAAUUUUAUUAAUAAGAAAUGAAAUAGGCAGUAAGCAUUUACAAACCGAAAACAAAAUCCUACAACAACUCUAGGACUCUACACCUUAUUAAAAAAAAACAUUUUGAUAGCGUUUUUCCAAAAGCAGAAGAUGGAAAAUUGCCCAUUUGUACUGGGGAGUUCGUGAUCUUUUCCUCAUUCUAGUCUACUUACAAUUCUUGGAAAAAGGAAUACUCACAUCUCAAACAACAGCCUGUUCAUCUGCAGUGUCCUGCCGAAUUCUAGAAAGUUUGGUGGCAAUGUUAAUUACAUUUCAAAAUUGACUGCUGCGAUAACUAAUUCGAUGGCUUACUACAUGGUCAACGUUUGGAUCUCUUCCUGUCCUUUUUGGAUGCACAUUUUUUUUCUCUAGGUAAUAUAUAAUCUCCCAACUCAUUUCUUUACAAAUGCACCUUUAAUCACCACCAAAAGGUGUGGACAUGAUCUUUACCCUAGAAAACUAUUCACCGACAGGCAAAUUGACGUCAGAAAUACUAAGAGGAAUUCUAGUUUCCUUCGGGUUAAUGCCAUUUUGUACCCUUCAACUGUAACUCAAUUUCUAAGCUGUAAUUUGUGACAUUAUAGUCCUUAAACUAUGAAACCCUUUCUUAUUUAAUUACAAUGGUUAAUACAAUGCCCGUGACUAGACAAGUAUGAAGCAACCAUAACAAAAAAAAAAUCCAAAAUUAGAGAAAAGAAAGAAGUUGCGACCAAAGUAUGUAUCAAGGCAUAGUAUAGAAAUAAAAGUGUCAAAAUUAAGAGUUUAGGGAUAAAAAAGAAUCAAAAUAUAGUUUAGGAAUUGAUUUGUCUCAAUUAGAGUUUAGAUGUCAACUAAGAAGAGAGAUAUAGUUGAAGGGUAGAAUAUAGAUAUAACAGUUCAAUGAUUGAUAUCAACGAGACAAUGACAACUUUGGAUUAUUACCAACCUCUUCUUGAUGGAAAAGGAAAUAGAGAAGAAAGUCGGGCCUGGUCUAAGCCUGUUUCGGAGGCAAAACAACAUUAUGAAAUCACCGGCAUUCACACAAAUAUGUCAAAGUCACCGGCAUGCUAAGUUGCAAAAUUUAUACAAACACUGAAUAUUAUAUUCUUCUCAAAAUUUUUGUUUAAGAUUUAACAAUUAGAGCACGGUACACGAAUUAGCAAUAUUAAAUAAUGAAUGUUCACGAUUGAUAAAGUUAUCAAAGUACAGUUUGAGGACAACCCAUUCCAACGUGUACAAGAUGUUUAGCCUUUGAAAAGUUAAUUAGAGAAGGUGACGAGAUUUUACUAGGCUUACAACUUCUAGGCCUUGGGAGUAAAAAGUGAAGACACUGAGUGCUAUAAAAAGGGGGCUAGAUGUUGCCUAGAAGCAUAUCAGCCUCGGACCACAUUUUGUAGCAAUGGGGAGCAAAGCAAAAGCAAUGGGGUCUAGGCUGACUCCUCUUUUUACCACCGUUUUAGUGGUAUUUGUUGCACUUGGCUUGCCUUCAGAAACUGCAGCUGAUUACGACAAGUAUUCACCUCCUCCUCCUCCUUACCAUUAUUACUCACCACCACCUCUUGUGCAUUCACCUCCACCACCGCCAGUUUAUAAGUCACCCCCACCACCUUAUCACUACUUCUCACCACCACCUCCAGUGUAUCCAUCUCCACCACCAUCUGUUUACAAGUCACCUCCACCACCUUCGCCAGUAUACAAGUCCCCACCACCACCUUAUCAAUAUUCCUCACCACCACCUCCAGUGCAUUCACCUCCACCACCACCGAUUUAUAAGUCACCUCCACCACCUCCUCCAGUUUACAAGUCCCCGCCACCACCUUACCAUUAUUCCGCACCAUCACCUCCAGUGCAUUCACCUCCACCACCACCGAUUUACAAGUCACCUCCACCACCUCCUCCAGUUUACAAGUCUCCAUCACCACCUUACCAUUAUUCCUCACCACCACCUCCAGUGCAUUCACCCCUACCACCACCGGUUUACAAGUCUCUGCCACCACCUUACCAUUAUUCCUCACCACCACCUCCUAUGCAUGCACCUCCACCACCAAUAUACAAGUCACCUCCACCACCUCCUCCAGUUUACAAGUCUCCACCACCACCUUACCAUUAUUCCUCACCACCACCUCCAGUGCAUUCACCCCUACCACCACCAGUUUACAAGUCUCCGCCACCACCUUACCAUUAUUCCUCACCACCACCUCCUGUGCAUGCACUGCCACCACCAAUUUACAAGUCACCUCCACCACCUCCUCCAGUUUACAAGUCCCCACCACCACCUUACCAUUAUUCCUCACCACUACCUCCAGUGCAUUCACCUCCACCACCACCGAUUUACAAGUCACCUUCACCACCUCCUCCAGUUUACAAGUCUUCACCACCACCUUACCAUUAUUCCUCACCACCACCACUCUUCAAUUUGGAUGUAAUUCAAUUUUCCUUGUAAUCGGUGGCCCUCCUUCGGAAUCCAAAUAGUCAUUGAGUGCAGCCUUCUUUCUUUAUUUUUUACUCAUUUUCACCUCAUAAAUUGCUUUCAUCCCCUAAAACUUGUUCGCUGGAAUUUUGAAUUUACCCAUACAACUAAACUCAGAAAAUUCUUACACAAAGGGAUUAGUAGCAUGAAUAGCAAACACAGAAUAAGAGAUAACAGUAUGUUUUAUUGUAUUAAAAAUAUUAAAGUGGAUUAUUUCUCCAUCGAAUUCCAUUGUGAGAGUAUCGUUACUAACAUCAAUCUUAGUUUGAGCAGUACUCAAGAAUGACCUUCCUAAUAUAAUGGGUGAUGGAUUUGGGACACUUUCAUCAUCCAUAUAAAACACAUAAAAAUCAACAGAAAAAAUUAAUCCAUCUACUUGAACUAAAAACAUCCUCAACUACCCCAUUUAGAUAAGCAAAUAUACGAUCAGCCAAUUGAAUUAUUAUCCCUAUUUCUUUUAAAUGUUCUAAAUUUAGGGAAUCAUAAAUUGAUUUAGACAUCACAUUAAUAGAAAUCUUUAAAUCUAUCAUGGCAUUUUUUAUAUUAGAAUGUCCAAUCUUACAUGAGAUAGUAAACAUACCUAGAUUCUCGCAUUUAGGUGGUAGUUUCCUUUGUAAAAUUGCUGAAACGUUCUCAUCUACCACAAUAUGCUUGUCCUCCUCAAUUUCUUCUUGUUGACACACAAGUUUUUCAAGCAUUUAACGUAUUUUGGAACUUAUUUGAUUUGCGUCCAACAAAGGGAUAUUGAUUGCCACCUUGCGAAAAUCUCUAAAAUCUCCUUUUCUUUAUCUUGUUUCUUUGAUUUCUCUAACCUGCUUGGAAAAGGUGGUGAGUUAGUUCCAACUCUAAUUAUAGAAUCAACAAUUACCUUUGGAUUCACAUUUCUCAUUCCUUCCUCCUCAAGCUCUUUGUCGAUUCGAUCUUCAUUUUUAUCCUUUGGAAUCACAACUUCGGAUCCCUGAAUUUUCUUCUCGCUCCUUAAGGUCAUUACACUUACAUUCUUCAGGUUCAGUUCAGGUUGAGACGACAAUUUUUCAUAGAUUUGGGAUUCCAGGCGGUUGAUUGCUAUUACCAUCUGACUCAUCUGACUCUGCAGUGCUUGCACCUGUCCCAAUUGAUUCCUCAUACUUUGCAAGUCAAAAUCCAUCUUUUGUUGAUUAGCAAUUAAUUGCUUCAUUAUCUCUUCUAUAGAUGGACUUGAGUUUGAAAGAGGUGGUGGCGGGCGAGACUGAUACUGUUAUUGAUACCCUUGCUAUCUAUUUGGUGCAAAAUCUGGCUACCUAUUUCCUCCAUAGCUGAGGUUGGGAUGAUCUCUCCAACCAAUAUUGUACGUAUUCGUGUACGAGUCGUAUGGUUUUCUUGGCACGGCGCGUGACCAGCCAUGUUCACUUGCUCCGUACUUUUCUCUUGAAUCAUUGAGCACAUCUCUGUAGAAUGACCCAUAGCAGUGCAGAUCCCACACAUCUUGACUCGUGAUGCAUUUCCUAUAGCUAAUUGCCUAACAAAGGAUGUUAAUUCGGUCAACUGCUGUUGGAUAGAAUAUGUUUCUACCUCAUUUACUUUGCGUGUUGGGGCAUCCUCCCUCGUACCAAACUGUUGCGAAUUUUCCGCCAUUCCUUCAACUAGCUCCCACGCUUCUCGAGAAGUCUUGUUCACCAAUGCCCUUCUACUUGCAGCAUCAAUUAUACUCCUGUCUCUAAAACGCAGCCCCUCGCAAAAAUAUUGGAUGAGCAAUUGCUCACUUAUUUGGUGUUGAGGGAACUUGAUGCAUAACUUCUUGAAUCGCUCCCAAUAAUCAUAAAGCGACUCUCCUGGAUGCUACUUGAUACCGUAUAUCUCCUUCCUUAGACUUGCAGCUCGAGAUGCAAGAAAAUAUUUGUCCAAGAACUUUUUCUUCAGCUGAUCCCACGUGGUGAUGCUACCUGGUGGUAGAUAGCACAGCCAGUCUUUUGCGGAGUCCUUCAAGGAGAAGGGAAAUGCCCUCAUUUUUAUCUAUUUUUCUGUAAUUCUCGGAGGUUUUAUGCUGUUGCAAACGACAUCAAACUCUUGCAAGUGCUUAUACGGUUCCUCACCUGGUAAACCAUAGAAAGAUGGCAAGAGAUGAAUUAGACCAGAUUUUAACUCAAAUGAAGUGUUAUCAUUUAAAAAUAGAAAAGUAACUGAGAUGCAGCACUGGAAUGUUCUUCUCGAAAUUGUCUGGUCUCUUUCUUUGUUCUACGCGUAGUCUUCUCUACCUUAGGAUCAAAAAUUAAUUUACCUGUACGAGAAGAACGAGGCAUACACUAGAAAAACACUAGAAAAUUAGAACAAAAAUGAACAUAAAAAGAAACAAAUAAACCAACGUCAGUCCCCAGCAACGGCGCUAAAAAUUGACAAGUUGUCGAUGCCUGUGCAAUAAUAAAAAUAAACCUAGUUACCAAUUAAAAUAAUCAGAGCCUAAUUCUGAGUACUAGAGCAGGGACUAUAGGUGUGCAAUGGGUUACUUGAUUCACCCUAUUCCUGAAGUUUGCUUAACCCGAUAUACCAGAAUGAGAUUGCUUAUUCAAAAGGAAUUAUUGAUUUGUAAACAGGGCAAGUAGGGUCGUAUCAUCAGGGAUUGAAAAAAUUUGUUUCUUUUCAAAUCCACAGUAACAAGGGGAUGUUUUUGUAUAAAUGAUAACAAUCUAAGGAGUGCAAAUAGAAAUAAAUAGAUAACUAGAAAUUAAAUGACAAUUCACUAAAAUUAGAGUAAUAAUAAUUAAAGGUCUAGCUAAGAAAUAACUUCAGCAAUGGUUCACCUAAUUGAUCAUCGACGCAAAGGCAAUUCCAAUUAUUUACUAAUAAAUAGGUUAUAACUGCAAAACAAGCAAUGACAGUCAACCCCUCCUUACUGUCGGUCGGUGAUUAAGGUACGCCCAAUCACUGCUCUAGUUGAGAAAUAAUUUUAGGGACGCUCGUAAGAUUUAAUUUUCCAAUUGCCUUACGUAUUAGAGGAGCCAUAAUCUAACCAAAUAACGCUACCAGGAUUAUUUUAAAUUAACCCGUGUAUUCCCUUGAUACAAAUUCAAUCAUGUCAGUUGUCACUAUUUCAAGGUAAUGAAACAAUUACGGAUUUAAUAUCCUAAUUGACAAUAGGUUACUAAAUCAAUUCACUAUUUCGAUCCAAGAUAAUCAAUCAAUUUAACAACUAAUAGCACUGCAAUCGGAGAAUAUGUAAAUACCAAUAAAUAAGAGGAAAAGAUAAAAUUAAAUCGAUCUCACAAUUUUUAAACAAAUCAAAGUAUCCGUUGUUUCUUGACUAGAAAAGAAAAUUUAGUUCAUUCCUAAUGUGAAAGACCCACGUGAGAAUUCAAAAAUAAUAUUCACGGAUAUUGUCUUGAUUCAAUAGAUUCAAUUGCGUUGGAAUAAGGAUAAAAAGCCAAACUAUAGAGAGUGAUUCAAUGUUUUGUUUCGUUUGCAUUUUUUCUACACAUAUGGAAGAAGAAAAACAACUAAAGGACGAAAAAAAAAAGUCAAAGAAAGGCACCCAAAGUAGUGCUUGGUCUCUACCAUCCUAUUUCCUAUCUAAUUACUACUUCCCUUCUGCGGCUGCCUAGAGGAAGAAAGAGAAAGCAGACUUCAGGUCUUGUUCCAUCUCCUCCCUUUUCGGCAAUUCCCCAAAAGUAGAAAAGUUCCUCCGUUUACCAAAAUGCCCCUGGAAUGAGGACUGCUACUUGAACUCAUUUUCUUGAUAACUGUCAAAUUAGCACUUGUUAUGGUAUUUGCGUCUACUUCCUGUAAUAAAUGUAAAUUGCCAAAAGUGAGUAAACUGAUAAUUAAUUUACAUCAGGUCAGGUAAUAGGAAAAAUUAAUUAUAAAAUAAAUGAUAAAAUUGCAACCUAUCACUUAGAAUAACCAGAAAUAAAACAAAACAAGAAAUGAAAGAAAUAAGAGGGUAGCAUAGACAUUUUGGAUUUUUCUGUUAAUUUGGAUGAUUUCCACCUACGGUCUAAUUUAAUCCAAAACACAAAUGGAUUAUGUGGAGAUUUUUAAACAAUGAGGGAGUAUCGUGACCGAAUCCCAAACCACAAAGGGGAUUUACUAUAUUUUACUCUUAAAUUUUGGUUUCAUCUCAUAGCAUACAAGAGUACUAUUUCACUGUCUGUCGACCAGGGAGGAGGGUUGGGUUGGGUGGUACGGGGGAGGGAGUCUAAGUAAGAGGUCUCAGGUUCGAAUCCUCCUGUUUAUACUAAAAAAAAAAAUUUACUAUCUGUCGACAAAGAUUUUCUAUGGUUGAUGUACCAUAGGAAAAAUCUGCCUAUACAAUUAUUUGGAAAAAUUAUCCAUCCAAACAUAGUCACGAUAGCAUUUUUUCAAAAACACUAGAUGCAAAAUUGUCCCCUUAAACGUGGAAAUUCAUGAUCUUUCCUCGACUAGUCUACUUGUCAAUUUUUGAAAAAAGAAUACUCACGCCAAAAACACGGCCUCUUCAUCUGCAGAAUUCUAAAAAGUUACGUAAACUCUAUAAACAAGUUGAUAGGUACAAUCGUACCCAAGAUCAAGUACAGAUAGUUGUACAUUCACUGCUGCAAUAACUAAUCUGAUGACUUACAAACACAUCAUGGUCAAUCGUUGAAUGGUAAUGAGUCUUUUGUUAUGCAUUAGUAUUAGUGUGUACACUCUAAUAGAUUGAUACUUAUACUCUUUAAAUUAUCAUAAUAAUACCCUUAAUUAACUUUAACCCUUAAAAAGAAUACGUGUUAAUACACGAGAGUGUGUAACCUGAAUUGUUACUUAUACAUUAGUGUGUAAUAGAACGGCAAGCAUUAUGGUGGUCAUUGAGCAACUUAUAGGAGAAAUAGUCCUAUAAGCUGUUCAAUGACCAAUCACAACUUGCUAAUUGGAUGACUAAUAUAGCUCUAGCUGUAAUGUUUUAAUUAAAUUCCACACUAACGUUGGGAUGACUUUUUAAUCAAAAAAAAAAAAGCCUUAGUUCAAGCUUUUCCCCUUAUUGUGCAUUUUUUAAAACAUUUGAUAGGCACUGCAAAUCUGUCAUUUUGGACAUUUUAUUAUUAACUAACAAUGAAAGCCGUGGACAUCAACCCAUAUCCAACAAAAUAUUAAAUUAAUAUUAGAAAAAUUAUUAAGUAAUUGGAAAAAAAAAAGAAGAGGCUAAUUUUCAUUGAAACCCACCGACAAACUAUCCGUGUCCAUAGCUUUUGAAUAGUGCAUUCAACGUUUAAUUGUAUGGUCCAGUUCAUUGCCGAUUACAUGGAGUAAAGAUUGUGCUCUUUCCUUUUUCACCCCUUUUGGAAUCGAUACUGUGGAGAAUUGGGUUUUUCCCUCCUUUUUUUCUUUUCUUUCCUUCUGUGCUUUGCAAAACAUACGUAAAAAUAUGAAAUCCGAAGCAUUCUUUAAUUGGGAUUAAGUAUUGUUGUUGAAAUUAAAAAGAAGAAAGAAAGAACAACAAAAAUCCCAAUCUGGGUUGAUUGUUGAGCUCUAGAUUGGCUGCAUCGUGCUUCCAUAGAAGUUCUCUUAGUGUGAUACGCUGCUUUCAAUCAGUUUUAAUAUUUAAGUAGAGUGCAAAAUAACUUUACUAUUUAAUGGGUUAUAAUGCACCAUUUGGUACCUCUCACCCACCUAUGAUUUGAUUUACUACUGGCAUGGUAAUGGACAGAGUUGGGGGAGCAGGAGGAGGGAGAUGGCGGUACCAGUCCGUCAACCACAGCACACCCUCCCUCGGACUUUGCGUGGUAGCGAAGUGGAGGCAGAUCGAGCACACAUGCACUAACGCCUUAAGUAUGUACAAUAUAUGUAUGCCAAAAGCAUAGCCAAGCCUACCAGCGCAUUUCAAUAAUAUAACCCGGAAAUUAAGGGCAUUGAAUUAAGUACGAUGAAUCAUAUUGGUGCACAAUUACAGUUUGAAGCUACCGAUUCGAGUAAAUUUAAGCGUAAGCACAAUCAAUCGCCAGUCAAAUGCUGAAAUAUGCAUAUGCAUGGAUGAAUGUAUGGGUUUCUUAGUUCCAGACCAAAGGCCAACAAUAAGGGAAGGAAGGACAGUUCUCAUUUUUAGCACGGACAAGGAGAUGAAGAAAAGUGUAUGUAGCUUGAGACAGAACAAUGGCAUGUGACCGCUCCUGAGACCACAUAACGUGGGGUGGGGAUGGGACGGCCAAGAAUGAAGAUGCCUGUCGGUCUCUCCGUGCUGCUACCAUAUGAAUCCCCCGUUAACCAAUUCAAGAUAAGCCUGAAGUUCUUUUCAUCCCCAAACCCUGUCCCAUCUGUGUAAAUCCAACAUCAUCAUUUACGACCUGCAACUCAGGUUAAGCAUGUUCUAUUGAGAUUCAGACACCACCCUUCAAAAGAUAUACUACUGUGAAACCAGCAGCUUAAUAUCAUUGUAUAAAAAAAAAAAAAAAAGAAAGAAGAAAAGACAUGAAAAGCAAAUUUUGUGGGGAUAAUUUCAAAAUCUCUCCUAAAGUUUUUUACUAUUUUACUGGCCUCCUUUCAAAUUUUAAAAAUUACACCAGUCUUCCUUGAGAUUAUUUAUCUUGUAACAUUGAGGUCCAAUCAAUAAUUAAAAAAUGAUAUUAUGAGAGAGAAAAAAAAUAAACUUUAACAUCAUAAAUAUUCUUAUCAACAUAUUAAAGUUAGUUACUGAAAUUUUUAUGGUGUUAAACUUCACUCUUUGUAAUAUUUUAGUUACAGAUUUUUUGAUUACUUGUUGUUGAUUUUUUUUUUUUUAGUGUAAACAGGAGGACUCGAACCUAAGACCUCUCACUUACACUCCCUCCCCCCGUACCACCCCAACCCAACCCAACCCUCCCCUCGUUGUUGAUCAUGUUUGACAAUGGAUUUGUAAUUGAAAAGAACAAUUUGGAUCUUACAUUGAGUGAAAUAUAUAGAAUGAUAUACUAUUUUUUAUGGCAUAUGUGAUUCAAUCCUUGAUGAUAAAAGCAAAUUCAAGUGUUUUCUUUAAUGUUUGUGCUGAUAUUAGAUUAAUUAAAUAAUUUAGUAGAUGAAGGAAAAUGGUGAAAUCAUAUUAUCUUCUCUUUCCUAAUAUCACUAUUUAAUUAUUGAUUGAACUUAGAUAUUACAAAUAAUAAAUCUCAAGGGAGAUUAGUAUAAUUUUCAAAUUUUGGAGAGAAGCUAAUGAAAUAGUCAAAAACCUUAAGGGAGGUUUACAAAAUUAUCCCAAAUUUGUGGGAAUUAGAAUAAUUGUACUGGACGGCACUGCCGCAACAGAGGGAAAGAGGAGGAGGUGCAGUUAACUUUUUGUUGUUUGAAAUCCUUGGUGAAAUAUUACAGAAAGACAGAUAAAACAGUUAGUACAUAGAUGUAUAUGACAGGGAAAAUGGUACGUCUGUUAAUCACAUUUGAAACACUUUCAUUGGUGAAUGACGAAAACUAUCAGGCUUGCCCAAUAGUUGAUCAUUGACCAAGACAAAUCUUGCCAUGCUAGAGGUACCAUCUUUUCGUACCUCUUUAGUGCACAGGACAUUCCUUUGUUUCAUCUAGCUAAUAAUCUACCAACUCAUUUCUUUGCAAAUGCACCUUUUAUGGUCACGUCUACGAAAGCUUUACAGGAUCUUUACCCAAAAAAUCAAUUCACCGACUCGCAUUUGAUGUCAAAAUUUCUUUACUUUACUCCAAGAUUGACUGUUAAUAAUAAUGCCACUUUGAAUUAUCACACCAUCCUUCUUGAUAGGAUUUGUGCUAGAGGUAGGGAGGGAGUCGCUGCAGCCGGUCUUCUCUUCAUAGACAGUACAAUAUUGCGAAAUCGAUCGCAUUCACGCAAUAUUAUAUUUCCAAGUCGUUGCAUGGGUAAGCUGCCAAAAAGUACGAACACAUGUUAUUAUAUAGCUUAAGAUUCAAAACUUUCGAGCAUAACCCUCCACCUAACACAAUUGAAUAAUGGAUAUUCACGAUUGUCAAAUCUGUCAAAGUACAGUUUGAGGACAACCCAUUCCAACCUGCAAAAGGUUUUUUUACUUUUCUAAAGUUGUUGAGAGCUGUUAAAAGAUUUACCAUGCUUACAUCUUCCGAGCCUUGGGAGUUAAAAAUGAAGGCACUGAGUGCUAUAAAAAGGGAAUAGAGGCUGCCUAGAAGCAUACCAGCCUAAAACAAGGAUUUGUAGUUAUGAUGGGAAGCAAAGCAAAAGCAAUGGGGUCUGGGCUGACUCCUCUUCUUGCCACUGUUUUAGUGGUGUUUGUUGCUCUUGGCUUGCCCUCAGAAACUGCAGCUGAUGAUCACUACAAGUAUUCAUCUCCUCCUCCUCCUUACACUAUCCCUCACCACCACCUCCAGUGCAUAUACCUCCACCUCAUCCUGUUUACAAGUACAAAUCUCCACCACCCCCACCACCACACCCAGUUUACAAGUAUAAGUCACCACCACCACCUCCUCAUCCGGUACCACACCCAGUUCCUCAUCCGGUGCCACACCCAGUUCCUCAUCCGGUGCCACACCCAGUUUACAAGUAUAAGUCACCACCACCACCUCCUCAUCCGGUACCACACCCAGUUCCUCAUCCGGUACCCACACCCAGUUUACAAGUAUAAGUCACACCACCACCUCCUCAUCCGGUACCACACCCAGUUUACAAGUAUAAGUCACCACCACCACCUCCUCAUCCGGUAUACAAGUAUAAGUCUCUCCGCCACCAACACCCAGUUUACAAGUAUAAGUCACCACCACCACCUCCUCAUCCGGUGCCACACCCAGUUUACCACUACAAGUCACCACCACCACCUCCUCAUCCGGUACCACACCAGUUUACCAUACAAGUCACCACCAAUCCUCACCCAGUUUACAAAUACGAGUCUCCACCACCUCCAGUUUAUAAGUACAAGUCACCACCACCUCCUCCACCAGUUUACAAGUAUAAAUCUCCUCCACCACCACCACCAGUUUACCACUACAAGUCUCCACCACCUCCUCCCCCAGUUUACAAAUACAAGUCUCCACCACCUCCUCACCACUACUAAGCAAUUGCUUCUGAGGUAAUAACACUUGUUCAAUAUACCCACUUCUGCAUGAUAAAGCAUAUCUCUAUCAACACAAACUGUCAUGUCUAUCAUGCUAAGUGCCUUCACUUCAUCCACCAAAAUGACUGCUAGAAAAUUUUUUUUAUGUUACCAAAGAAAGGCAUCAUUUUUUCCCUCUGUUAUCAAGAACUUGUACAGUAUAUAGAUUAAAGAGUUUUUAUUUUAACUAGCUUAUCAACUUAGAAAUGCAUAUAGCUGAUAACCAGCUGAAUAUUUGCAGGCAAAGGAGAAGGAAACCAUGUUUGAGACCUUCUUGAAGAUGUAGAAGCAUAAGAAUAAAAGCCCAAUGUGAAGAUGAUGAUUUCAAGUUUUUCUACGUUACCAUUUCUUUAUCUAAAUUGGUUGUAGCGCCCAAGUUCCUUUGUUUAUGGGAUUUGUAUCGUUUUACGUACCAUGCAGUACAUGUCAUGUUUGUAAGGUUUUCUAUCCUGCCGGCAAACCGCAGGUUCCAUGUGAUAAAUGAAUACUAUUUAUGUUACGACACUUUUCUCUGUUUCUCUUAUAUUUUGUCUUUAAUAUUCUUAAUCAUAUUUUUAACAAAAAUAUUCAAACA
rnacentral:lncRNA from 1 species